CAAGAAAUGAUUUACAAUUUUUCACGCAAGAGGACGACCUCAUCAAUUUAGCGCGCUAGCGUACACGUGAUUUCCUAAAUUAAAAGUUGAAUACAAAUUUCUGCUUUAUUUAUUAGAAUUUAUCAGUUUCCUACAUGUUGUGACGAUAAUAGUUGGAAGUCAUCUAUUAUUAUCAAGAAUGAAUAAGAAGGAUAAAAUUCAAUUGUUGCGGAAUGCAAUCAGAAGUUAUCCUGACUUUCCUAAACCUGGUAUUAUAUUUCGAGAUAUAUUUGGUGUCUUCCACAAUGUAGCAGCAUUGAGAGCAAUGAGGGAUUUAAUAGUAGAACAUAUUUUAUUCCUUGAAGUUGAUUUGAUUAUAGGUCUUGAUUCAAGAGGUUUCCUCUUUGGACCCAUUAUAUGCAUGGAAAUGGGCAAGCCUUUUGUACCUAUUAGGAAGAAAGGCAAACUCCCAGGGGAGGUUUUACAAAAACCUUAUACUCUUGAAUAUGGGGAGGAUACCUUUGAAAUACAAAAGGAUUAUAUAAAUAAAGGGGCACGGGUGAUCAUUGUAGAUGAUCUGUUAGCCACAGGAGGUUCCAUGACAGCUGCAGUAGAAUUGGUAAAAUCUGCUGAAGCUGAGGUGAUUGAAUGCUUAGUAAUAAUUGAACUAACUAAUUUAAAUGGAAGAGACAAGGAAGAAUAGACUCUACAUAUUUCCGAGUCUGUGGUUGUUUGGAGAAGUGAUGGAAGUUGCUUUCAUUUCAAUUUUUGAGGAUUAAUAAUUUCUCGGAGGUGUAUAAACAUUUCAAAGGACUGUUGAGUGGAUAUAUUUAUACAUAUAAAAAUGUCUGUUGCUGAAUUUCUAAAAGGUUUGCCUUCACAUAAUGAAAAUAACUUUGCCAAUUUUCACACGGACAGUGGAAACAGAACUUGUGUAAAGAAGCCUUCAGUAUAUAUUCCCACAAAAGAUCAUCCUUCAGAACAAAUUAUAGUUACAGAAAAAACCACCAUAUUGUUAAGGUACCUCCACCAACACUGGGAUAUAAAUAAUCCUGUCAGAAAAAGAGAUUUUUUAUCUGCUAAUGGUGACUCUGAAGAUGAUGGUGGCACAGUUCGUAGUAAAAGGCUACGUCUUGAGUUGAACAAUACCAUUUAAAAUAUAUUGCACACUUUUAAUUUUCAUUACUUGUUAAACUACGUUUAUAUGUCAUGAAAAUAGGUCAUGCAAACAUCAACAUGGGACAAAUGUAAUUCUUAAAUAUUAUAAACAUAUCUAUACCUCGGAAAAAUUAUUUCAAAACGUUAUUUGAACAUUUUAAAUAUAUAAUUUAGUUUAAAUGUUGUGUAAAAUAUUGACUCUAGAAAAGUAGAAAGAACGUUUUUAAAUAAUAUUUCUUUAGAUAUGUAACAUUGUAACAAAAAACAAGAAUAACUUUUGUGUUAAUUGUAUGUUUGUAUUGCAUGCUUGAAGUUCAUUGAAAGAAGAUUCGUUGUUAGAAUAUUAAAUGACACUACGCUACAGUACACAAUUUGUAUAAGUAGCGACAUUCAUUGCUCUCUUUCGUGAUCUUUCUGUAUGACUGUUGUCGAGGGACAGGAAUGCAACUGGUGGUGCAUACAUUCAUUAAAACAGAGGAAGUAAAUAUUAAUGUCAUUUUAGUUAAGAUACAAUAUGUCAGCAUUUAUUCUGAGGUAAUUUUGUAAAUUUAUUUCACAAUACAUUAUUCAUUUUUGUACUGCA